GACGAACGCUGGCGGCGCGCCUAACACAUGCAAGUCGAACGGAGUCACGAGGAGCUUGCUUUUCUUGACUUAGUGGCGAACGGGUGAGUAACGCGUGAGUAACCUGCCCUGGAGUGGGGGACAACAGUUGGAAACGACUGCUAAUACCGCAUAAGCCCACGGAUCCGCAUGGAUCUGCGGGAAAAGGAUUUAUUCGCUUCAGGAUGGACUCGCGUCCAAUUAGCUAGUUGGUGAGGUAACGGCCCACCAAGGCGACGAUUGGUAGCCGGACUGGGAGGUUGAACGGCCACAUUGGGACUGAGACACGGCCCAGACUCCUACGGGAGGCAGCAGUGGGGGAUAUUGCACAAUGGGGGAAACCCUGAUGCAGCGACGCCGCGUGGAGGAAGAAGGUUUUCGGAUUGUAAACUCCUGUCGUUAGGGACGAUAAUGACGGUACCUAACAAGAAAGCACCGGCUAACUACGUG
rnacentral:rRNA from 1 species